UACGGAGGGUGCGAGCGUUGUCCGGAAUCACUGGGCGUAAAGGGCGCGUAGGUGGCGCGGCAAGUCAACGGUGAAAGCUCGACGCUCAACGUCGAGUCGGCCGUCGAUACUGCCGCGCUGGAGCACUGUAGAGGCAGAUGGAAAUUCCGGGUGUAGCGGUGGAAUGCGUAGAGAUCCGGAAGAACACCGGUGGCGAAGGCGGUCGCUGG
rnacentral:rRNA from 1 species